AAAAGAAGAACAGGGGUUAAGGAGGAAACCCCUGCAUUAGCUCACUUCUUAUCACCACCUUGCACAAUGGUGGCGAUGUCAUCUUCCUUAACUUUGACUCCCCUCAGAGGAGCAGCUUCUCUGGUGGUUUCUUCCAGCCCUCAAGGGGUAGACCUAUGGGAGGGUCCUUUUUGUAUAAAGCUGUAACAUUGUGGGGACAGGGGGCACGGUGAUUCAAUUCUAUGGGAAACCUUUACAAAAACCUUUCUUCUGUCCCAAGGCCCACAGUCUGCUACUCUUCCUCUGGGUCACAAAUCUAAAUCCGUUUACAUCCAAAAUGCUUCUACUUCACCUCUGCUUCCUGCCAGGCCAAGAUUGUGGAGAAGAAUGGGGCUGUCCCAGAGCAGAAACCUACGCAGAAUGAUCACAAGCAUAAGAAGAGAGGCCUAGUGGCCCUAGAGGCAGAAGAUGCAGGAAGAGCCUCUUCUCCCAACUUCCAUAAAACAGACCACCACCAUCAGUGGACAGGUGAAACAGAGAUGAACAGGUCUACAGCUUUAAAAAAAAGCCAUAAAGAUCUCAGCUCUAGAGGAAUAUCAACAUCUCUCUGGGAAUCUGCUCUCUGAAGGGCUACCUCACUUCAAUGGACCUUCAGAGAGAGAAUAUAUAUGAGGAUCUGAAAACGGUGACUCCACCCAAGGUCUCCUUGUUUGAGCCAUCAGAAGCAGAGAUCGCAGACAAACAAAAGGCUACCCUCGUGUGCUUGGCCAGGGGCUUCUUCCCUGACCAUGUGGAGCUGAGCUGGUGGGUGAAUGGGAAGGAGAUCCGCAAUGGGGUCAGCACAGACCCUCAGGCCUACAAGGAAAGCAACAAUAUCACCUACUGCCUGAGCAGCCGCCUGAGGGUUUCUGCUCCCUUCUGGCACAAUCCUCGCAACCACUUCCGCUGCCAAGUGCAGUUCUAUGGGCUUACAGAGGAAGACAACUGGUCAGAGGACUCACCCAAACCUGUCACACAGAACAUCAGUGCGGAGGCCUGGGGCCGAGCAGAUUGUGGGAUUACCUCAGCAUCCUAUCAACAAGGGGUCUUGUCUGCCACCAUCCUUUAUGAGAUCCUGAUAGGAAAAGCCACCCUGUAUGCUGUGCUUGUCAGUACGCUGGUAGUGAUGGCUAUGGUCAAAAGAAAGAGUUCCUGAAGCCAGACCUGAAGGUGAAUCCAAGAGCUUACAACCCAUUGUGGUGUUGAUACAGAUUUUCUUCUACCGGCGCUUCUGAAGAGCCUAUUCUCCUUUGUGAAUCCCAAAGUCUGCCUAGUCAUGUAUAUUUGUGUUUGUAUGUUUGAAAUCCUUGUGGCCUGGAGAGUGCCUAGCACACUUACAAUUAGUAACCAUAACCAAUAAAACAUGUUCUAGAAUGGCCUGA